rnacentral:rRNA from 1 species
CAGCCGCCGCGGUAAUACGUAGGUGGCAAGCGUUGUCCGGAAUUAUUGGGCGUAAAGCGCGCGCAGGCGGUCCUUUAAGUCUGAUGUGAAAGCCCCCGGCUCAACCGGGGAGGGUCAUUGGAAACUGGGGGACUUGAGUGCAGGAGAGGGAAGUGGAAUUCCACGUGUAGCGGUGAAAUGCGUAGAGAUGUGGAGGAACACCAGUGGCGAAGGCGGCUUCCUGGCCUGUAACUGACGCUGAGGCGCGAAAGCGUGGGGAGCAAACAGGAUUAGAUACCCUGUUAGUCCACGCCGUAAACGAUGAGUGCUAAGUGUUAGGGGGUUUCCGCCCCUUAGUGCUGCAGCUAACGCAUUAAGCACUCCGCCUGGGGAGUACGGCCGCAAGGCUGAAACUUAAAGGAAUUGGCGGG